rnacentral:rRNA from 1 species
GGUUAAGUUAGAAAGGGCGCACGGUGGAUGCCUUGGCACUAGGAGCCGAUGAAGGACGGGACGAACACCGAUAUGCUUCGGGGAGCUGU